rnacentral:rRNA from 1 species
GACGAACGCUGGCGGCGUGCUUAACACAUGCAAGUCGAACGAUGAAGCCGGAGCUUGCUCUGGUGAAUUAGUGGCGAACGGGUGAGUAACACGUGAGUAACCUGCCCUUGACUCUGGGAUAACUGCGGGAAACUGUAGCUAAUACCGGAUACGACCCUCGGAGGCAUCUCCUGGGGGUGGGAAGAAUUUCGGUCAAGGAUGGACUCGCGGCCUAUCAGCUAGUUGGGGAGGUAAAGGCUCACCAAGGCGACGACGGGUAGCCGGCCUGAGAGGGUGACCGGCGACAAUGGCACUGAGACACGGCCCAGACUCCUACGGGAGGCAGCAGUGGGGAAUAUUGCACACUGGGCGCAAGCCUGAUGCAGCAACGCCGCGUGAGGGAUGACGGCCUUCGGGUUGUAAACCUCUUUUAGCAGGGAAGAAGCGAAAGUGACGGUACCUGCAGAAAAAGCACCGGCUAACUACGUGCCAGCCGCCGCGGUAA